GGGCCGCAACGAUUACCCGUUAACCUGGUCAGAUCCGGAAGGAAGCAGCCACAGCGGGAACAUUGUGUGCCGGGGUGUG
rnacentral:misc_RNA from 1 species